UACGGGGGGGGGCAAGCGUUGUUCGGAAUUACUGGGCGUAAAGGGCUCGUAGGCGGCCAACUAAGUCGGAUGUGAAAUCCCCAGGCUUAACCUGGGAACUGCAUCCGAUACUGGAUGGCUUGAGUUCGGGAGAGGGAUGCGGAAUUCCAGGUGUAGCGGUGAAAUGCGUAGAUAUCUGGAGGAACACCGGUGGCGAAGGCGGCAUCCUGGACCGACACUGACGCUGAGGAGCGAAAGCCAGGGGGAGCAAACGGG
rnacentral:rRNA from 1 species